CCCUCGAGAUGAGAUUUCCCAACUUCGGUUAUAAGAUCCCUCAAAGAUGAUGAGGUGAAUAGGUUCGAGGUGGAAGCGUAGCGAUACGUGGAGCUGACGAAUACUAAUCGAUCGAAGACUUAAUCAAU
rnacentral:rRNA from 1 species